rnacentral:lncRNA from 1 species
UAGUAUGUUUGGACUUCAAAUAAUCUAGUUGUAUCUGGUGAUGGAUUUAUUAACUUUGUUUGCUAUUUGGCACCUGGCAGAGCCAGCAUGAUGAAUUUGAGGCAAAGUUUUUUGAGGAGAGAGCUGCGCUUGAAGCUAAAUAUCAGAAGAUGUACGAGCCACUGUACUCAAAGGUACACCAAUUGAUACCAAUGUCGGUGCUUAUUCUGUUUUACCCUGUUUCCAAACUUCACUUUGACCCCUGUAACCAGUGUUUAACUCUCACCUGUACCAUAAUAAUAACUGCUAAACUUGGAUAUAAAGAAAUCGCUUCUGUUUUGCAUGCUUCAUACAAUACAAACUGUCUUGUAUCAUAUUUGAUGCGGUAUGCCAUUAUCCAUCUGAUUGAUUUCUCGCACCUGCAAAAUGACAGCGUCAUGAUGUUGUCAAUGGUGUGGUUGAGGUAGAAGGUGUAACCAAAGAC